rnacentral:tRNA from 1 species
GGGCUCUUAGCUCAGUUGGUAGAGCGCCUCAAUGGCAUUGAGGAGGUCAGCAGUUCGAGACUGCUAGGGUCCA